GACGUAGGGCGCGAGCGUUGUCCGGAUUCAUUGGGCGUAAAGGGUGCGUAGGUGGCGUCGUAAGUCGGGUGUGAAAAUCUCGGGGCUUAACUCCGAAACUGCAUUCGAUACUGCGGUGCUUGAGGACUGGAGAGGAGACUGGAAUUUACGGUGUAGCAGUGAAAUGCGUAGAGAUCGUAAGGAAGACCAGUGGCGAAGGCGGGUCUCUGGACAGUUCCUGACACUGAGGCAACGAAGGCCAGGGGAGCGAAACGGG
rnacentral:rRNA from 1 species